rnacentral:rRNA from 1 species
UUAAGCGACUAAGCGUACACGGUGGAUGCCCUGGCAGUCAGAGGCGAUGAAGGACGUGCUAAUCUGCGAUAAGCGUCGGUAAGGUGAUAUGAACCGUUAUAACCGGCGAUUUCCGAAUGGGGAAACCCAGUGUGAUUCGUCACACUAUCAUUACGUGAAUACAUAGCGUAAUGAAGCGAACCGGGGGAACUGAAACAUCUAAGUACCCCGAGGAAAAGAAAUCAACCGAGAUUCCCCCAGUAGCGGCGAGCGAACGGGGAGCAGCCCAGAGUCUGAAUCAGCUUGUGUGUUAGUGGAACGGUCUGGAAAGUCCGACGGUACAGGGUGAUAGUCCCGUACACCAAAAUGCACAGGUUGUGAACUCGAAGAGUAGGGCGGGACACGUGGUAUCCUGUCUGAAUAUGGGGGGACCAUCCUCCAAGGCUAAAUACUCCUGACUGACCGAUAGUGAACCAGUACCGUGAGGGAAAGGCGAAAAGAACCCCGGCGAGGGGAGUGAAAAAGAACCUGAAACCGUGUACGUACAAGCAGUGGGAGCAUCCUUUUGGGUGUGACUGCGUACCUUUUGUAUAAUGGGUCAGCGACUUAUAUUCUGUAGCAAGGUUAACCGUAUAGGGGAGCCGAAGGGAAACCGAGUCUUAACUGGGCGUUAAGUUGCAGGGUAUAGACCCGAAACCCGGUGAUCUAGCCAUGGGCAGGUUGAAGGUUGGGUAACACUAACUGGAGGACCGAACCGACUAAUGUUGAAAAAUUAGCGGAUGACUUGUGGCUGGGGGUGAAAGGCCAAUCAAACCGGGAGAUAGCUGGUUCUCCCCGAAAGCUAUUUAGGUAGCGCCUCGUGAACUCAUCUUCGGGGGUAGAGCACUGUUUCGGCUAGGGGGUCAUCCCGACUUACCAACCCGAUGCAAACUGCGAAUACCGAAGAAUGUUAUCACGGGAGACACACGGCGGGUGCUAACGUCCGUCGUGAAGAGGGAAACAACCCAGACCGCCAGCUAAGGUCCCAAAGUCAUGGUUAAGUGGGAAACGAUGUGGGAAGGCACAGACAGCCAGGAUGUUGGCUUAGAAGCAGCCAUCAUUUAAAGAAAGCGUAAUAGCUCACUGGUCGAGUCGGCCUGCGCGGAAGAUGUAACGGGGCUAAACCAUGCACCGAAGCUGCGGCAGCGACACUAUGUGUUGUUGGGUAGGGGAGCGUUCUGUAAGCCGUUGAAGGUGUAUCGUGAGGUAUGCUGGAGGUAUCAGAAGUGCGAAUGCUGACAUAAGUAACGAUAAUGCGGGUGAAAAACCCGCACGCCGGAAGACCAAGGGUUCCUGUCCAACGUUAAUCGGGGCAGGGUGAGUCGACCCCUAAGGCGAGGCCGAAAGGCGUAGUCGAUGGGAAACAGGUUAAUAUUCCUGUACUUGGUGUUACUGCGAAGGGGGGACGGAGAAGGCUAUGUUAGCCGGGCGACGGUUGUCCCGGUUUAAGCAUGUAGGCGGAGGUUCCAGGUAAAUCCGGUACCUUUUUAACGCUGAGGUGUGAUGACGAGGCACUACGGUGCUGAAGUAACAAAUGCCCUGCUUCCAGGAAAAGCCUCUAAGCAUCAGGUAACACAAAAUCGUACCCCAAACCGACACAGGUGGUCAGGUAGAGAAUACCAAGGCGCUUGAGAGAACUCGGGUGAAGGAACUAGGCAAAAUGGUGCCGUAACUUCGGGAGAAGGCACGCUGAUAUGUAGGUGAAGUGAUUUACUCAUGGAGCUGAAAUCAGUCGAAGAUACCAGCUGGCUGCAACUGUUUAUUAAAAACACAGCACUGUGCAAACACGAAAGUGGACGUAUACGGUGUGACGCCUGCCCGGUGCCGGAAGGUUAAUUGAUGGGGUUAUCCGUAAGGAGAAGCUCUUGAUCGAAGCCCCGGUAAACGGCGGCCGUAACUAUAACGGUCCUAAGGUAGCGAAAUUCCUUGUCGGGUAAGUUCCGACCUGCACGAAUGGCGUAAUGAUGGCCAGGCUGUCUCCACCCGAGACUCAGUGAAAUUGAACUCGCUGUGAAGAUGCAGUGUACCCGCGGCAAGACGGAAAGACCCCGUGAACCUUUACUAUAGCUUGACACUGAACACUGGUCCUUGAUGUGUAGGAUAGGUGGGAGGCUUUGAAGUGUGGACGCCAGUCUGCAUGGAGCCAUCCUUGAAAUACCACCCUUUAAUGGCUGGUGUUCUAACGUGGACCCGUUACCCGGGUUGCGGACAGUGUCUGGUGGGUAGUUUGACUGGGGCGGUCUCCUCCUAAAGAGUAACGGAGGAGCACGAAGGUUAGCUAAUCCUGGUCGGACAUCAGGAGGUUAGUGCAAAGGCAUAAGCUAGCUUGACUGCGAGAGUGACGGCUCGAGCAGGUGCGAAAGCAGGUCUUAGUGAUCCGGUGGUUCUGAAUGGAAGGGCCAUCGCUCAACGGAUAAAAGGUACUCCGGGGAUAACAGGCUGAUACCGCCCAAGAGUUCAUAUCGACGGCGGUGUUUGGCACCUCGAUGUCGGCUCAUCACAUCCUGGGGCUGAAGUAGGUCCCAAGGGUAUGGCUGUUCGCCAUUUAAAGUGGUACGCGAGCUGGGUUUAGAACGUCGUGAGACAGUUCGGUCCCUAUCUGCCGUGGGCGCUGGAGAAUUGAGGGGGGCUGCUCCUAGUACGAGAGGACCGGAGUGGACGCAUCACUGGUGUUCGGGUUGUCAUGCCAAUGGCAUUGCCCGGUAGCUAAAUGCGGAAGAGAUAAGUGCUGAAAGCAUCUAAGCACGAAACUUGCCCCGAGAUGAGUUCUCCCUGAGACUUUAAGUCUCCUGAAGGAACGUUAAAGACGAUGACGUUGAUAGGUCGGGUGUGUAAGUGUAGCGAUACAUUGAGCUAACCGAUACUAAUGAACCGUGAGGCUUAACCUU